rnacentral:tRNA from 2 species
GGAGAGGUAGCAUAGAGGCCUAAUGCGCUCGCUUGGAGAGCGAGUACGGUGAAAGCCGUCGUGGGUUCGAAUCCCACCCUCUCCG